rnacentral:rRNA from 1 species
AUGCAAGUCGUGGGGCAGCACAGUUGUAGCAAUACAUGGGUGGCGACCGGCAAACGGGUGCGGAACACGUACGCAACCUUCCUUCAAGUGGGGGAUAGCCCGGGGAAACCCGGAUUAAUACCCCGUAAUACUGUGAGAUGGCAUCAUCUUACACUUAUAGCUCCGGCGCUUGAAGAUGGGCGUGCGCCUGAUUAGGUAGUUGGCGGGGUAACGGCCCACCAAGCCUUCGAUCAGUAACUGGUGUGAGAGCACGACCAGUCACACGGGCACUGAGACACGGGCCCGACUCCUACGGGAGGCAGCAGUAAGGAAUAUUGGUCAAUGGACGCAAGUCUGAACCAGCCAUGCCGCGUGGAGGAUGAAGGUCCUCUGGAUUGUAAACUUCUUUUAUCUGGGAAGAAACCCACGGUUUCUACUGUGGUUGACGGUACCAGAUGAAUAAGCACCGGCUAACUCCGUGCCAGCAGCCGCGGUAAUACGGAGGGUGCAAGCGUUAUCCGGAUUCACUGGGUUUAAAGGGUGCGUAGGUGGGUUGGUAAGUCAGUGGUGAAAUCUCCGAGCUUAACUUGGAAACUGCCGUUGAUACUAUCAAUCUUGAAUAUCGCGUAGGUAAGCGGAAUAUGUCAUGUAGCGGUGAACUGCUUAGAUAUGACAUAGAACACCAAUUGCGAAGGCAGCUUACUUCACGAUCAUUGACACUGAGGCACGAAAGCGUGGGGAGCAAACAGGAUUAAAUACCCUGGUAGUCCACGCCCCUAAACGAUGGAUACUCGACAUUAGCGAUACACUGUUAGUGUCUGAGCGAAAAGCAUUAAAUAUCCCACCUGGGAAGUACGACCGCAAGGUUGAAACUCAAAGGAAUUUGGCGGGGGUCCGCACAAGCGGUGGAGCAUGUGGUUUAAAUUCGAUGA